rnacentral:rRNA from 1 species
CAUGGGUAGCAAACAGGAUUUGGUACCCUGGUAGUCCAUGCUGUAAACAAUAAAUAUUAAAUAUUUGAUCUGGUUAAACUUAAUUAAAUUUUUUAUUUGAAAUAAAUAAUUUAUAAAAGGGAAGAAAAUUUUAUUUAAAAUUUUGAUAAUCAAAUAUUCAAAGUUAACACGUUAAAUAUUUCGCCUGGGGAGUAAAACCGCAAGGUUGAAACUCAAAGGAAUUGACGGGAGCUUAUACUUACGGUGGAGCAUGUGGUUUAAUCCGAUAGUCCGCGUGAAAUCUUACCAAUUUUUGACAGUUAUUUCGUUUUAAAAGAAAUAAACAGGUGUUGCAUGGUCGUUGUCAGCUUAUGUUUUGAAAUUUUAUAAGUAUAACCCUUAAUUUAAUUUACUAAUAGUUAGAAAAAUUUAUGAUAAAAUUUACUAAAUAUGUACUAUUAAAUUUGAAAUAUGAAAAUUUUUUUUUAUAUUUUUAAGGAUGAAAAUAGAUCGUUAUGACCCUUAUAAA